UGUUUCAACGUUGAAAUUUGGUAGAAAAAAGGUUGCGACGUCGACAACCUAAUAUCUACGUUGCUCUGACGUUGUUUUACAAACAUUGGUUCAACAGCAGCCAACACUCAACAGACGUUGAAUUAACGUUCAUUCAUGGUCGAUUUGUGAACCAAUCUCAACGUUGUUUUAACGUGGAUUCAACGUUGAAUUAUGGUUGACGAGAUUGGCAACCUAAUUUCAACGUUGUUUCAACGUUGAAACA